ACAAGCUUUCCGUAGGUGAACCUGCGGAAGGAUCAUUGUCGUGACCCUGACCAAAACAGACUGCGCACGCGUCAUCCAAUCCGUCGGCGACGGCACCGUCCGUCGCUCGGCCAAUGCCUCGACCACCUCCCCUCCUCGGAGCGGGUGGGGGCUCGGGGUAAAACAACCCACGGCGCCGAAGGCGUCAAGGAACACUGUGCCUAACCCGGGGGCAUGUCUAGCUUGCUAGCCGUCCCUCGUGUUGCAAAUCUAUUUAAUCCACACGACUCUCGGCAACGGAUAUCUCGGCUCUCGCAUCGAUGAAGAACGUAGCGAAAUGCGAUACCUGGUGUGAAUUGCAGAAUCCCGCGAACCAUCGAGUCUUUGAACGCAAGUUGCGCCCGAGGCCACUCGGCCGAGGGCACGCCUGCCUGGGCGUCACGCCAAAACACGCUCCCAACCACUCUCAACGGGAAUCGGGAUGCGGCAUCUGGUCCCUCGUCUCUCAAGGGACGGUGGACCGAAGAUUGGGCUGCCGGCGUACCGCGCCGGACACAGCGCAUGGUGGGCGUCCUCGCUUUAUCAAUGCAGUGCAUCCGGCGCGCAGCUGGCAUUAUGGCCUUUGAACGACCCAACAAACGAAGCGCACGUCGCUUCGACCGCGACCCCAGGUCAGGCGGGACUACCCGCUGAGUUUAAGCAUAUCAAUAAGCGGAGGAGGAUCCGUG
rnacentral:rRNA from 1 species